rnacentral:lncRNA from 1 species
CUCGAGACAUUCUUGCAUGCUUCCAACAUGAUGGCUGAUGACAUGGGCUUGGUGUCGGAAGCUUGAGCGGUGAUGGCCAUGGAAAGGAGAAUGAUGACAAUUCCAGAGAAUGCUAAGGAGGUGGUUUGCACCAUUUCCAUUGGUGCCAGGCUUGCUAGAAAAAUAUAUUGUAACAGAGGGAGAUGAUGAAUGGAUCAAAUGGAACCGCAGUGCAGAGAUGGAUGGGUUGAGGUGGAGUACAUACCUAUGAUUAUGGUUUAUAUAUAGUGCACCGAGUAGGGGUU